CCUGCCCCAGAGGCAUUGCAAGUGUGGCCUCUGUGUCACAUGUGCAUCAGCGGGUGGCAGAGAGGAGAGAGGCUGUGUCUAUGCUCACUGUUCUGUGAACGUCUGAACUAUUAGUAGUCUAACAUU